UACAGAGGGUGCAAGCGUUAAUCGGAUUUACUGGGCGUAAAGCGUGCGUAGGCGGUUCGCUAAGUCGGUUGUGAAAUCCCUGGGCUUAACCUGGGAACUGCAGUCGAUACUGGCGGACUAGAGUACGGUAGAGGGUGGCGGAACUCCGGGUGUAGCGGUGAAAUGCGUAGAUAUCCGGAAGAACACCGAUGGCGAAGGCAACCACCUGGGCCUGUACUGACGCUGAGGUACGAAAGCGUGGGGAGCAAACGGGG
rnacentral:rRNA from 1 species